GAUGAACGCUGGCGGCGGGCUUAACACAUGCAAGUCGAACGAGAAGUGAAGACGGAAACGUUCGGGCGGAAGGCGUUAUUUCGAGUGGCGGACGGUUGGGUAACGCGUCGGGAACCUGGCACUUAUAGGGGAUUAGCACUUCGGAACGACUGUUAAUCCGCCAUAAAACGACAGGAGCGGGUUUUGCGGGUGGGAAAGCUCCGGGGGUAUGAGAUGGACCCGCGUUCGAUUAGGCAGUUGGAGGGGUAACGGCCCACCAAAGGGACGAUCGAUAGCCGGUCUGAGAGGAUGACCGGCCACAUUGGGACUGAGACACGGCCCAAACUCCUACGGGAGGCAGCAGUGGGGAAUAUUGCACAAUGGGGGCAACCCUGAUGCAGCGACGCCGCGUGAGUGAAGAAGUAUUUAGGUAUGUAAAGCUCUAUCAGCAGGGAAGAAAAUGACGGUACCUGAGGAAGAAGCCCCGGCUAACUACGUG
rnacentral:rRNA from 1 species